rnacentral:rRNA from 1 species
AUUGAACGCUGGCGGCAGGCUUAACACAUGCAAGUCGAGCGGGGGAAGGUAGCUUGCUACUGGACCUAGCGGCGGACGAGUGAGUAAUGCUUAGGAAUCUGCCUAUUAGUGGGGGACAACAUCUCGAAAGGGAUGCUAAUACCGCAUACGUCCUACGGGAGAAAGCAGGGGAUCUUCGGACCUUGCGCUAAUAGAUGAGCCUAAGUCGGAUUAGCUAGUUGGUGGGGUAAAGGCCUACCAAGGCGACGAUCUGUAGCGGGUCUGAGAGAAUGAUCCGCCACACUGGGACUGAGACACGGCCCAGACUCCUACGGGAGGCAGCAGUGGGGAAUAUUGGACAAUGGGGGGAACCCUGAUCCAGCCAUGCCGCGUGUGUGAAGAAGGCCUUAUGGUUGUAAAGCACUCUAAGCGAGGAGGAGGCUACUUUAGUUAAUACCUAGAGAUAGUGGACGUUACUCGCAGAAUAAGCACCGGCUAACUCUGUGCCAGCAGCCGCGGUAA